rnacentral:rRNA from 1 species
GAUGAACGCUGGCGGCGUGCCUAAUACAUGCAAGUCGAGCGAACGGACGAGAAGCUUGCUUCUCUGAUGUUAGCGGAGGACGGGUGAGUAACACGUGGAUAACCUCCCUAUCAGACUGGGAUAACUUCGGGAAACCGGAGCUAAUACCGGAUGAUCUUUUGAACCGCAUGGUUCAAAAGUGAAAGACGGUCUUGCUGUCACUUAUAGAUGGAUCCGCGCUGCAUUAGCUAGUUGGUAAGGUAACGGCUUACCAAGGCAACGAUGCAUAGCCGACCUGAGAGGGGGAUCGGCCACACUGGAACGGAGACACGGUCCAGACUCCUACGGGAGGCAGCAGUAGGGAAUCUGCCGCAAUGGGCGAAAGCCUUACGGAGCAACGCCGCGUGAGUGAUGAAGGUCUUCGGAUCGUAAAACUCUGUUAUUAGGGAAGAACAUAUGUGUAAUUAACUGUGCACAUCUUGACGGUACCUAAUCAGAAAGCCACGGCUAACUACGUG